rnacentral:lncRNA from 1 species
GGACAUGGCAUGGAACGUGUGUGCGGAAAAGUUCGAACAUCAAGUGACCCUUGAAGCGCUACAACACUUAAAUGCACUCUUUCAGGAGUAUGAGAAAAGAGGAAGACAGCUGUUGGAUAUGGAGACUUUCAAAUGCAUAAUGAAGCAGAGCAUGAGGUUACAGAAUAAAAGUACUGAACAAAUAGAACAACUUUUCAUGAAAAUAGACUAUGAAGCAGUGGGCAGAAUUCAUUGGGAUGGCUUCUGCACAUAUCUGCAGUUAGCAUAUUUGGAGCAAGCUGAUGCUUUGGCUCGACAGAAAGAGGUUUCCUUCCAGCUGCCUGCUGUGCUGCAGGGACUGUCGUACGGGGGACCCGUGCUGCGCAUUCUCUCUGUGCCUGAUGACACCUUAAUCAUGAUCAGAGAAGAUGGAGCCAUUUAUUUCUGGUCCCUGCAGCUGAAGUUGAAAAGAAGAAAGCGAGUUUUUGACAAGCCCAUCAUUCGGAAGCGCCGGUGGGUGACGGAUGCCACCAGCAUGCCACAGUACAACAAACUGAUCCUAGGAACUGGAAACCGCGAAAUCCAGCUGUAUGAGUUCUCUAACUUGGAGCCUUACUGUCAGAUUGGUGGCCUGGAAGCUGUCCCUCUGAAACUGGACUACUGGUACGAGGAUCCUGACAAGUGCCUGAUUAUCUAUGGUGAUGACCAGGGAUGUGUGAACAUUCUGUUUUUGGCUUCUGUCGGUGAACUAUUAAGGGGACGUCACACCCCAGGUCCCUCUCAUGGGGGAGGUCACAUUCCAGAUCCCUUUCAGAGGAAGUCACAUACCACACCUCCCAUCCUCAGGGAAGAAGUCACUCCAGGUCAAGUGUGCUGUUACUCUUGGUGGCUGAGGGUCCCCAGGAGGCAGCCGUCUCAGUCCUAUCACAGUGAUACUCUGGAGCCAGAAGCAUGGAGAACUUGGAAGAAGCUGCCCAAAGUUGAGAACAUGCCAAACAUUAGCAUUAAUAAUGCUGUGAAUUCUCCAAAUGUGAAUUACAUCCGCUGGAAAGUGCACGGAGACUGGGUUACUCAGCUGAACUACUACGAUUCUAUCAACGCCGUUAUCUCAAGCUCCAAUCAUGAGCCCACUGCUCUAGUCAUAGGAAUCUUACAGCAGCCCUGUCCACCUCUGAUUCGCAGCCUUCAAACCACAUUGUCUUUCAAGGAAAGCUUCCUUGGUAAAUUUCUGAUUCACUGACAUUGAAAUCACUGAAGUGUUGGAAAGAGAUGUGCUCUGGGUAAGAAGUCGCUUGGGAAUUUUCAUUAGACUUUCUUGGAACUAAGAAGUGGUCGUUUUCUAGAACCGUGAUGGAUAUGAAUCUUAAGAAACUGAAAGCCAGCCUCCAGAAGCAGCUCAAAACUCAGUGUUUGUUAUGACAGAACAAAAAUCAGCGAGCCCAGAAGAAGGAUCUCCAGGCUCUAGCCCUGGCUCUGCUGCUCAUAGAGCUGUGACCUCAGGCCUCAGCCCCCUCUCCAGUUCAGUGAGGAAGUUGGACAUGAGCCCAAAGUCACAGAUCUUCCUUUUGCUCUAAGCCCCUGUCCCUCCCUUCCUUCACCUCACAUCAUGGGAAGCAGAGGCCGCUACAGCUCUGAACCCCUGUUAGUGUGUCUAGAAACCUAGAUAGCUCGACUAUAGAAUUCCUCCACCCCGGCCCCUCGCAACAUCGUUGAAGUUUCUGUUUCUCUCCGGAAGGAGAAUGGGGAGGAGCCCUUAGAGCAGAACUCCUGGAAAGACUUGCCCUUUCUUACGCCUGUCCUCCAAGUUGGUCUAAGACCCACUCCAACCCAGCUGUGUCCCUCCACGCCAUUAAAGUCACUCUUGUAAGGGCCACCAGUGCCCCUCCUGCUGCUGAAAUCAGUGACCGGUCCUCGUCCCACUUGCCCUCUCAACACGAGCCGCAGGUCCCUUGGCUUCCUCCCUGCAGUCCUCUCACUUGGCGUGAGGACUCCACCUCUCAUGGUUUCCCGUCCUUCCUGCCUGUAGCCCCUUCUCGUUCUCCCUUACUGGUCGUCUGCAUCGCCAUGACUCGUGUCUAUGACGCAGUGACGGAGCCCCCAGCAUUCAGUCUUUGGUCCUCUUCUCUUCCACAUCUGCACCCCCGCGAUGAGCGCUCCGCUACCACUGCUGUCAAUUCCCAAAAGUACAUCUCUGGCCCAGCCCCCUCCCUGAACUUCUCUCUGGUAUUUCCAGCUGCCUUGGAUCUAUCUCCCAAGGGCACCUCCACUUGGGUAGCUCAUGAGCAUCGAAAUUAAACCCAAACCUGAAUCCAGAUCUUCUUCCUCCCACCGUCUUCCCCAUCUCAUUUGGCUCGAAGUCCAUUCUUCCAGUUGCUCUGGCCAAAGUCUGAUGGUCACCCUUGACUCCUCUCUCACAACCCAUCUAACUUGCUGGCCCUACCUUCAUAACACACCCAGACUCUGGCUGCUGCUCCCCAGCCCCACUGCUACCCUCUAGUGAGAAUCACCACCCUCUCUUCCCUGGGUUCCUGAAACAGCCUCGCUCCUCUCCCUGCCUCCAUCCUGCCCUGUCGUCUCUUCUCCAUGAAGCAGCCAGAGAUACCCUGUAAAACGAGAAGUCAGACCUGUCCAAAUCCUCCAGUGGGCCCCCAUCUCAGUAAAAGUCAGAGUCCUUGGGGGACCUGUGUGUCACCCCAACCCUUGCGUCUCUGGCUUGGUCUCCUCGUUCCCUCCUUCCCUCACUCAGUCACACUGGCUCCUUCAGUAUAUUUAGAAUGUUUUCACUGCUUCUUCCUUGUGCCUGGAAAGUUCUCCCUAAAAAUGUCUGCAUUGCUCACUCCCUCAGCCUCUUGAAGUCUUUGCUCAAAUGUCACUUCUCAGUGAGGCCUCCUUGUCUGCUCUGUUCUAUAUGGCAACAGCCCAGCUCCUGGCUCUGGCAUUCCCUAUCCUUCCUACAUUGAUCUGCCCUUAUUUUGUUUUGUUUUGUUUUGUUUUGUUUGAUUAGGGGCACACCUGCAGCAUAUGGAGGUUCCCAGGCUCGGGGUCAUAUUGGAGCUGCCGCUGCUGGCCUACACCACAGCCACAGUAACACAGGAUCUGAGCCAGGUCUGUGACCUACACCCCAGGUCUCAGCAACACCAGAUCCUUAACCCACUGAGCAAGGCCAGGGAUCAAACCCACAUCCUCAUGGGUACUAGUCAGGUUCGUUUCCGCUGCACCACGACAGGAACUCUCCCACUCUGCCCUUGUUUAAAUCGAUGCAUCUAAUCAUCUUUUAAUAUACUAUAUAAUUUAUCUAUUGUGUUUGUUUUUUGUCAUCCUCCCUCAUCAGAAGACAAGCCCCUCAAAGGCAAGGGUUUUGUCUGUUUCCUUCACUGUUUUGUCCCUAACACUUAGAAUAGUGCAUGGCACGUAAAUAGGUGCUCACUAAAUAUUUAUUGAAUGGAUUUAUUUGUGAAGUCAGAAUUCCUAACAAAUCCAUCUCUCUCCCAAAGCAGUGCUCUAAAUCCUGACGCACCAGAGAGCAGGGAUCCUGAAGUGACAAGCUCUCCAAGUGUUUCCUCCUCUGCCCUUUUCCUUCUCUCUCCCCAUCCGCCCCCUCAACACUCCCCCACCAUGUCCUCCACCCACGUCAUUGCUCAUUCGGAUAUGUAUGUGUCCCCCCACACACACACUCUCGCACUCCUCCACUCUCUAGCACCCCCACCUCUGAAUGGUCUCUGAGAGACUAUAAUCCUGUCAGGAGCGGGUAGAUGGUUCACCCCAUUCCACAGCCCCCUUCCAAGUAGUUCUAGUCUCCAUUUCUGGUAGGAGCCCUUCCACCGCCCCUUAGGGACCCCCCUUUACAUACUCCUGGGCCUCAGAACUCAGCUUCAGGUCAGCCAGCUAUUCCCACAUAGGGUCACCCCCAGCAAGAGGAAGAGACCAUGAAGAGAAGAGGCCAACAAUGGACAGAGGCUCUGCAACAUAGGAAAUGCUUUCAGGUGCAUCUCUUUACUUACAGUGAUGGGAGGCAGGAACCUCUUGCUUCUUUUGGUUAUUCACAGACAUGAAAGGGAACACAUCUUGGUCAAGACCAGAGAAAGACCAGGCUGGGCUUCGAAUGUCUUUUCUCCUGCAGACCUGAGCAGGGUUCCACUUUGUGACAGCAGAUCUGUGGGCUUCUGCCAUGCUGAGGAAACUGAUGGAGUGAAGGCAAUAAAACAUAGGGAGGGAUAAGCA